rnacentral:rRNA from 1 species
UACGGGGGAUGCAAGCGUUAUCCGGAUUUAUUGGGUUUAAAGGGUGCGUAGGCUGUGAGGUAAGUCAGCGGUGAAAUGCCCCGCUCAACGGGGUGAAGUGCCAUUGAUACUGCCUUGCUGGAAUGCGGAUGCCGUGGGAGGAAUGUGUGGUGUAGCGGUGAAAUGCAUAGAUAUCACACAGAACACCGAUUGCGAAGGCAUCUCACGAAUCCGCUAUUGACGCUGAUGCACGAAAGCGUGGGUAUCAAACAGG